rnacentral:misc_RNA from 1 species
GCCAAAUCACCACAUCUUUUAUUUCGAGUCACAGGGAAAUACAUUCAAACAUCACAUGUUCUGUGUCUCAAUUCAAAGAGGCCAAAGAAUCCAAAGACGAGUGCACUUCUGAUGCUUUUGAUAAUACUAUGCGCACAGGAAUUCAAGUAUGAUCAAUCAGAACUCAACGGAAAGCUACAAAUUUGGAAGCUGAAAUUUCAAAACAACCACAUGCAACACAAACAUUAAUAAAUUCCAUUUAUGUAAUCUUGCCAGCUUCCCAUACAAGAAUAAGUUAGAUUGCAAAUUUCAUGUUGUAAAUCAAUCUACUUGCAUGCUUUCAGGAAAAGGUAUUGAAGCACAACAAUGAUAAUAUCCAUUCUCAUCAUACACAAAACGUUGUGAAAGAUGAGCUUCACGUAUGAGAUACUCCCCCCAUUCCUCAGAUCCAAACUUCUUGAAAAUACCUCGAGCAUCAAAGUAAUCGUUUUUUCUUUUCUUCCCUCUCCUAUGGCUUGUGUUCAUCACUGUGGCAUGCAACUUUAACUUAUGUUUAGCGUCUUUCUCUAGGACAAGUCCAGCCUCAACAAAUGCAUCAAUAAUGACCUGACAGGCACGUAAAAGGCGGUCCUCAUUUCCAACUUCUUCUACAGUUGCAUAGAGAACACGGGCUUUUGCCAUAGAACCUCUCAAGCAAUCCUACACAGGGAUAACAGCAUAAGAGUUCAGGUCCUCAAUAAGACAAAAUUUAAAAACUAUACUGUCACCAUGAAACGAGUACAUGUAAACAGUUCCACCCUGACAACAUUGUUCCUAAAUGUAGUCAUUUUUAGAAGUUACACCACUAAAAAUUAAGAAGCAUUCAAACCUAAUUUACUGAGGACAAAGUUCAAGGUUGAAAAGGCCACUUUAUUUUACUGCAGAUAACACAAACAAGAGAAUGAAUUUCUGUUCUACUUACCAGCCCCUUAAGUCUGAUAGAGAGUGGUCGAUUAUCCAACGCAUCCAUCACUUUUGAUGAUAUACUCUAAAAAAAGGUAUAUAGCAUUUCAUCAUCAAAUAGUGCUACCAGCAGCCAAAACCUAUCUUAUUCAAAGACAAUAUACCUUCAAAACCUCAGUAGCUGCAUCAAUUCGCUCCUUAUUCCAGAGCUUCAACAUAAGCACAGUUAAGUGAAAUGCUGUAGGUUUGAUAAAUAUAGAUUUGUCUAUUCCCAAGUCUGUAAAGUGCAACAUAAAUCAGUAAGAUUUUAUCAAAGUAAAGAGAGAAUGUAAAAUAGGAAGAAAAUAAAUGGAUUGAUUCUCAAACAAAAGCACAAAACAGAAGCAAAUUAGUUAGCUUCAGUAAGUUUGGCGAGUAGUAACAAAAUUUUCCCCAAAAUAAGCAAGAAAAAGCAAAAUAGGAACCAGGAUUUCACUGGUAAAAAUGGAUGGAUUGAGACAAAUAUUAUACUUCUGUGAAACUAUAUCCUGCUAUCAGGCAUCCAUAAUCUCUUCAUUUAAAAUUGGUAAUUUUUUUAAAUCCUACCAGAUAAAGUAGAUGGCUUUGAUGCUUUAGGUGCGUAACUAACAAGAGGCACGCUAGUUAGAUCCACUUUAACAUUUUUGUCAUCUUCAACUUUAAGUUCAACUGCAACAUCAGAUCCUCUACUGAACUCUUGGUCCUUAUCUUCAUUAUCAGAAGUACCUUCAUUGGGAUCACUCUCCACGGUCUCAUCCAGGAAAGCAUCACUAAUUUCCAAUAUCGAGUUCUGAAAAUUCACUAACUUAUCAACCAAUUCUGGGUGAAUAGCUAGUGGAAGAGAUAUGAAGUGGGAAUAAUUGAGACCUGGGCUGUUAACUGCCUGUGUUUCAAACCCCAAGAAAGACAGCAAAAAAAAAGAAGGUUAGUACCAUGUCUAGAAAAGGAUAAAUGAUCAAGUGUAUAUUUGACAUCCGCUAUGAACAAGUAAACAACUAUUCCCUAACAUGUAUCAAAUCACUUUUAUUAAUUGGAGUCGUUUGUACAGAAUAUUUUAGAUAGAACACAAGGAAAAAAAGCAACUUAUGAAAGAUUGCUAACUUAACAAAAAGAACACCCAUGUUUGCUCACAGCUCUACCACUUGAUGUUAAAAGUCAGUUCCAUUGCCAUCAUGAAACCUUUCUGCGUAUAAUUUUCCUCUUGAUGGUAAUGAAUGCAUUUUUUGGGUUACUUCAUCUAACCUUAGAUAAAUUCACCAUUCCACAGAGAUGACACAAGUCAUGAACUAAUAGAAUUCAUAAAAAAUGCCACACAACAAAACUAGCUCCCAAAAAUAUAUAAGAUGACAAUGAAAUAACAUACACAAAUGAGCAAACCUCAUCUAUAAUAGCUUGUAUCUUUUCUGAAGCACUAGUUACACUAUCAAUUGAACUUCCUUCAAUGACUGCAAUAGUUAACCACAUAAGAGUCAGAAAAAAGGGCUAAUCAACAUUGUAGCAAAUCAAUUUAAACACAAAAGAUAAUGAAAAUGUUGAAAUUAGAGUUGUCUUAACUUAUUAGGAUUGGUCAUGUUGAAAUUAGAAAUCAAAGUAACCAUGAGCAUUCAAUAUGAUAAUUUGAUGACAAUUACAUAGUGAGAUGCAAAUUCACAAAAAUCCUUUAAACUUACUAAUAGAUUCCUCCUCCUUUGAUGAUGGAAUGAAAAUCUUAACUCCCAUCUCCUCUUCAAUUUUUUGCUGUGUAGAUCCCCCUUCUCCUUUGAUAAACCGAAUUAAAGAGGCACCUACCUACAAAUCAAGCAGAGUAAAUCAGCCCAAAGACUUAAAAGAGAUUUAAGAAUUGAAAAAACAAAAAGAAAAGGAACAAAAAGAAUCGAGGGAAAGCCACAAGUGAAGAGGACUUUUAAAUGACAUUGCAUUAGAAAGGUUGAGAUAUUUUUGGUGUCUUACCGUAUUUAUUUAGGAAAUAAUGCAUAAAAUUAGUUCUGAAGAAAGCAAUGCGCAACAAUAGAAAUCAUGAGUAAUAAAAUCUCAUAGAUAAGAUAAUCCUGUAGAAGAAAUCAUAACAAAACAUUACAUAAACUGGACAGGAAAUCAGGGUAUCAGAAAUGCACAUGAAAAAUGCCACAGUGGUGCAACAUGACAAAGGCCUAACCACUAAAACACAUGCAGAGCCAUGGCAAGGCAUUUCCCUUUAGUAGUACAAGAAAAGCAACAUAUAUAAUGCAAUCUGAUACCAACACAGUAACACAACUCAUUUUGGUUGUCAGCUUUCAUUUCCACUAAGGAAGCAACAUCUCAAAUAAU